GAGUGAGAAGGGUACCCUCAGCCUUCCUGGUAGAGUGAGCAAUAGCAGUUGUUUUGUGACUGUGAACUUUGUAACUGAAGAACUGCAUUUUUUCCACAGGCUUUAGAGAUUGUCUGAUCCAAAGAUGACUGUGCUCAGAAGUGUCAGAAUGUACUGGAUGCAUCAGUGUAUGCAGUUCAUGCAAAUAGGAGGCUGAUUAUAGUGCUUUUCAAGGUCUGAGAGGUGUUAUUUAAGUCUCAACACUCCUCCCUGCACACCUACCGCACCUCUGCCAUAGCACUGCUGGGCCUCGCUGGAGAGCUACGUCUGCCAGGCCUGUAGCCAGGAGUGUGUGUCCCAUUUCAGCCUCGGUUUCCUGCUCCUGCAGAGGAAUUGAAGAUGGCAGUAGGGGCCACGCGUCAUGCUUCUACAGUGCUGAGGUUUUUAUCGUUCACUUGAUCGUCACUGAAAUAGAAAGGUACACAGAUCCCUGAAUAAUAUAAUGAAGCCUACUGACACUGUGCGUACUUUACCUUUUGUGGUCCUUUGGAAACAGCCCAAGGAUUCCUAGGGGUCUGUAGAACAGUCUAAAAACUGCUAAUCAAAAUGAGUUGCUUACUCUUCUGAAGGAGUCUGACUGUAAGCCCCUCCAGUCACCAGGGCUGUUUCAUUAGGUUCUGAG
rnacentral:lncRNA from 1 species